CUACGACCUCCUUCCUGUGAGGAGACCACUCGCCUGGAGGCUGUUUCCUGUCCCUGUCUGCCACUGUCCUGUUCAUCCAGGGACAGGCAGGCGCCAGCCUGGAGAACACAGAACAGGGGACCGUGGCCACUGCUGCUCCUCUGGAUGCAGGCUCCUCUCCUUCUGUCUGCACUGGACCAUUAGUACACCGACUCCAGCCUGGCCUCUGCUGGCCUCAGCAGCUGCAGCGGGGCCUGGCAUGGACGGGUG
rnacentral:lncRNA from 1 species